rnacentral:rRNA from 1 species
ACUCAAAGGAAUUGACGGGGGCCCGCACAAGCGGUGGAACAUGCGGUUUAAUUCGACGCAACGCGAAGAACCUUACCUACUCUUGACAUCUAUAGGAUCUAGUAGAGAUAUUGGAGUGCCUUCGGGAACUAUAAGACAGGUGCUGCAUGGCUGUCGUCAGCUCGUGUCGUGAGAUGUUGGGUUAAGUCCCGUAACGAGCGCAACCCUUAUUCUUAGUUGCCAGCCAGUAAAGUGGGGAACUCUAGGGAGACUGCCGGUGACAAGCCGGAGGAAGGUGGGGACGACGUCAAGUCAUCAUGGCCCUUACGAGUAGGGCUACACGCGUGUUACAAUGGACGGUACAAAGGGAAGCGAACCCGCGAGGGGGAGCAAAUCCUAUCAAAGCCGUUCGUAGUCCGGAUUGGAGUCUGCAACUCGACUCCAUGAAGUUGGAAUCGCUAGUAAUCGUGGAUCAGAACGCCACGGUGAAUACGUUCUCGGGCCUUGUACACACCGCCCGU